rnacentral:lncRNA from 1 species
GGACUAAGAGAAUUCCUUAUCCCCAAGAACAAACCAUCAACUAAGAAGGAGUGAAGUUUUUUCAUUAAGCCGCACAAUCCACUCUAGUAUUUCUAAUCCAAAAUAGAAAAAAGAAGUCAAAGAAAUAGAGUUCUAUACAGAAUCAAAAUUCAAAAAUUCAAAGAGAAAAGAAGACCGCAUGACAAAAGGAGAAUCAUCAAGAGAAAAAUCAUCUAUGAAAUGUGUCUCCUACCUGGACACUUUUUCAAGU